AAAUGCGAUAAGUAAUGUGAAUUGCAGAAUUCAGUGAAUCAUCGAAUCUUUGAACGCACCUUGCGCUCCUUGGUAUUCCUUGGAGCAUGCCUGUUUGAGUAUCAUGAAAUCUUCAAAGUAAAUCUUUUGUUAACUCAAUUGGUUUCUACUUUGGUAUUGGAGGUCUUUGCAGCUUCACACCUGCUCCUCUUUGUUCAUUAGCUGGAUCUCAGUGUUAUGCUUGGUUCCACUCGGCGUGAUAAGUUAUCUAUCGCUGAGGACACUGUAAAAGGUGGCCAAGGUAUGCAGAUGAACCGCUUCUAAUAGUCCAUUGACUUGGACAAUACUUUUAUGAUCUGAUCUCAAAUCAGGUAGGACUACCCGCUGAACUUAAGC
rnacentral:misc_RNA from 1 species